UACGUAGGGUGCAAGCGUUGUCCGGAAUUAUUGGGCGUAAAGAGCUCGUAGGCGGUCUGUCGCGUCGGCUGUGAAAUCCCGAGGCUCAACCUCGGGUCUGCAGUCGAUACGGGCAAACUAGAGUAUUGCAGGGGAGACUGGAAUUCCUGGUGUAGCGGUGAAAUGCGCAGAUAUCAGGAGGAACACCGGUGGCGAAGGCGGGUCACUGGCCCGUUACUGACGCUCAGGCGCGACAGCGUGGGGAUCAAACAGG
rnacentral:rRNA from 1 species